rnacentral:rRNA from 1 species
GACGAACGCUGGCGGCGUGCUUAACACAUGCAAGUCGAACGGUAAGGCUCCAGCUUGCUGGGGUACACGAGUGGCGAACGGGUGAGUAACACGUGGGUGACCUGCCCUGCACUUCGGGAUAAGUCUGGGAAACUGGGUCUAAUACCGGAUAGGACUGCACCGUGAGGGUGUGGUGGAAAGUUUUUUCGGUGUGGGAUGGGCCCGCGGCCUAUCAGCUUGUUGGUGGGGUAAUGGCCUACCAAGGCGGCGACGGGUAGCCGGCCUGAGAGGGUGGACGGCCACAUUGGGACUGAGACACGGCCCAGACUCCUACGGGAGGCAGCAGUGGGGAAUAUUGCACAAUGGGCGGAAGCCUGAUGCAGCGACGCCGCGUGGGGGAUGACGGCCUUCGGGUUGUAAACUCCUUUCACCAUCGACGAAGGGUUUCUGACGGUAGAUGGAGAAGAAGCACCGGCUAACUACGUGCCAGCAGCCGCGGUAAUACGUAGGGUGCGAGCGUUGUCCGGAAUUACUGGGCGUAAAGAGCUCGUAGGUGGUUUGUCGCGUCGUCUGUGAAAUUCCGGGGCUUAACUCCGGGCGUGCAGGCGAUACGGGCAUAACUUGAGUACUGUAGGGGAGACUGGAAUUCCUGGUGUAGCGGUGAAAUGCGCAGAUAUCAGGAGGAACACCGGUGGCGAAGGCGGGUCUCUGGGCAGUAACUGACGCUGAGGAGCGAAAGCAUGGGGAGCGAACAGGAUUAGAUACCCUGGUAGUCCAUGCCGUAAACGGUGGGCGCUAGGUGUGGGUUUCCUUCCACGGGAUCCGUGCCGUAGCUAACGCAUUAAGCGCCCCGCCUGGGGAGUACGGCCGCAAGGCUAAAACUCAAAGGAAUUGACGGGGGCCCGCACAAGCGGCGGAGCAUGUGGAUUAAUUCGAUGCAACGCGAAGAACCUUACCUGGGCUUGACAUAUACAGGAUCGCGCCAGAGAUGGUGUUUCCCUUGUGGCUUGUAUACAGGUGGUGCAUGGUUGUCGUCAGCUCGUGUCGUGAGAUGUUGGGUUAAGUCCCGCAACGAGCGCAACCCUUGUCUUAUGUCGCCAGCACGUUGUGGUGGGGACUCGUAAGAAACUGCCGGGGUUAACUCGGAGGAAGGUGGGGAUGACGUCAAAUCAUCAUGCCCCUUAUGUCCAGGGCUUCACACAUGCUACAAUGGUCGGUACAGUGGGUUGCCAGUCCGUGAGGGCGAGCUAAUCCCGCAAAGCCGGUCUCAGUUCGGAUCGGGGUCUGCAACUCGACCCCGUGAAGUCGGAGUCGCUAGUAAUCGCAGAUCAGCAACGCUGCGGUGAAUACGUUCCCGGGCCU